AAAGGAGACUAUAAAAGGAGCUGCGGUGAGCCGGGCUCGUUCUUUUACGACGGAGCCUAAGAUGUUCUUUGUCUUGUUGGUACUAGAGUCGCCGAAAGAGACAUCCGAUUAUAUGCACGUUCACAAGGACAAUGGCGCCAUUGUUCUUCGCGUCUUCAAAGCAGCUACAAGAAGAAACCAAGAUGGAGGGGAGCCCAAAGCAUCUGAGAGAAUUGAUAAAUGAAAGAAACAUGCUUAAAACAUGACCGUUUUAAAGGUGAAUGCUGACCAGUGAGAAAACUAGAUGUGACCAUCCAGAAAAAGCAUAGACAAAAAUGCAGUCUGAGUAGUGGGAUGUUUGAGAUGGGGUCUAUGUACAUGUCUCUAGCUGUCCCUAUCAGGACAGCAUCUGGGAUGGCCUGCAGAGUUGAUUCCUGUACUUUUUUUGUGUGUGGGCUGUAUGUAAAUGAUUGUUUUGACAAUCCAUUCGUCGGUGUUCUCUUCUGUGAAGGUCAUGGGUGAGCUGAUGACAGACAGCUGUACAGACUGAAUGCAAUCCUGACUAUAAAGCCGCAGUUCAUUAUGAGCUAUUUCCUUAUUCUGGCAGUGAUUGAAAUAAAAUGGGAGUGUUGGAAUAAAAAACAUUCAAUUGCAAAUA
rnacentral:lncRNA from 1 species